rnacentral:misc_RNA from 1 species
AUGCAGUUCUCAAGUGUGAGAUUUGGAUGUUUAGUAGAGAUAGGAACUAUAUGGAGGAUCAGCUUUUAGGGUUUGCUUUGGUCCCAAUUUCACAAGUUGUUGGCAAAGGAAAGGUGACUCAAGAUUAUAGCCUCUCCUCCACUGAUCUCUUUCAUUCCCCUGCUGGAACUGUCCAAUUGUCUCUUUCUUUGAACACAUCUUUGCCUUUGAAUCCUUCUGCAGCCGCUGCUAAUUCUUCAAUAUCAGCUGAAGUUGUGUUGCUUGACAGGAAAAUAUCAGAAGUAAUUCUUGAUCCUGCCGAGUACUCGAGGAUUGAAUUUCCUGAUAUCAAUGUUGUUACUGAGAAUCAGCAAAUGGUAUCUGAGUAUUUUGAAGGUUUGGGUUCCAGGCCUGGCUCAUUUCUUCAUCUUGGUGCUUCUCCUCAUCUUCUUGUUGUUGACUAUGAAAUGACCAUAAAUUCCUCCGAGGAAAAUCAAGGAGGUUCCACUUCUCCCAAUGAUAGCAUCCAAAAUUCAGGUUUCUUGAGCUCCACCACCACUAGCUUAAGCGAUGAUCGAAACUCCACCGAUUCGAUUGACAAAAAGGGGCUCCUAUGCACUCAUUCUUCAAACUCCCUCAACAUUUCGAUCACCACAGAGGCAAAUCAUGGCUCGAGCACUUGCCCUGACACUCCGACCUCAAAGAAAGGAAGUGAAAUGAAAGAGGAAAAGGACUCGAACUUUUCGAGCAAAGAGGAUGAAGGAAACAAGGAAGGGACUAUAAAUUCUGUUAAAUUUGGUCAAG